rnacentral:rRNA from 1 species
UGGGGAAUUUUGGACAAUGGGCGAAAGCCUGAUCCAGCAAUGCCGCGUGUGUGAAGAAGGCCUUCGGGUUGUAAAGCACUUUUGUCCGGAAAGAAAUCCUUGGCUCUAAUACAGUCGGGGGAUGACGGUACCGGAAGAAUAAGCACCGGCUAACUACGUGCCAGCAGCCGCGGUAAUACGUAGGGUGCAAGCGUUAAUCGGAAUUACUGGGCGUAAAGCGUGCGCAGGCGGUUUGCUAAGACCGAUGUGAAAUCCCCGGGCUCAACCUGGGAACUGCAUUGGUGACUGGCAGGCUAGAGUAUGGCAGAGGGGGGUAGAAUUCCACGUGUAGCAGUGAAAUGCGUAGAGAUGUGGAGGAAUACCGAUGGCGAAGGCAGCCCCCUGGGCCAAUACUGACGCUCAUGCACGAAAGCGUGGGGAGCAAAACAGGAUUAGAUACCCUGGUAGUCCACGCCCUAAACGAUGUCAACUAGUUGUUGGGGAUUCAUUUCCUUAGUAACGUAGCUAACGCGUGAAGUUGACCGCUGGGGAGUACGGUCGCAAGAUUAAAACUUAAAUGAAUUGACGGGGUCAUAGCUGUUUCCU